rnacentral:rRNA from 1 species
UACGGGGGGGGCAAGCGUUGUUCGGAAUUACUGGGCGUAAAGGGCUCGUAGGUGGCCAACUAAGUCGGACGUGAAAUCCCCCGGCUUAACCGGGGAACUGGCGGAGAUACGACCGUCCUGGAGGGGCGUAGGGGGACCUGGAACUUCCGGUGGAGCGGUGAAAUGCGUUGAGAUCGGAAGGAACGCCCGUGGCGAAAGCGAGGUCCUGGACGCCUACUGACGCUGAGACGCGAAAGCCAGGGGAGCAAACGGG